GGAAAAAGUCUUUGAUAAUCCCUAAAUAUAUAUCCAAAUUAAAAACCUAAUAAAAGUAAGUAAUUAUGUCUGAAAACACUGUUCUUAGUAAGUAGGGAACACACGAGCUGUAUAUAUUUAUAAAUAGGGCUGUAUAGGCAUCUAGUGCCUACACUGGUUUUACAGAUGAUUUUAUUUUUUCCACCAGGUGACACUAAUCUGCCUCAAGUCAAUGGAUUUUUAAGUACUUCUAAUUUUUAACUUAAGACUAUAGGGUAUUCUAUAGUCUUUGACUGUACACUGCGCAUCCAGUCAUGAAAGCAAUGACUGUAAAAUGCGCUCAAAUAAGUGAGAACAGAUGCUGAUUAUGACCAAAUACACUUAUAAGUACAUAUUUUUUUCAGCGCAUCCCGUACAGAGAUUCAAUGCGCAAUGCGUAUGGUUGCCAUGACAACAAGCCACGCUGGCUGCUGCUCCCUGCUGUCAUAAAGCCCUUGAAUAUUAUAUUUAUUUCACGAGUUUAUGUAAUAAAAUUUAUCUAACAUUUCUUUUUCUUUUUUUGAGUAAUAAUUGUAAUAUUUAAAGCAGCUGUGUUGUUUUAAGACAAAUUUCCGAUCAGUGGGUGUUCCAUUGUUUACGUCAUUAUGAUCGCUGCAUUCCAUUAGAACGUUCGGUGAGUAGGCUACUCUAUAAAUAUGAGUGCAGAGGAAUCAGGCAUUUUGUAGCGAGUUGUGGCGAGUUAUCGUGAGUAUACUUUUUACAAUUUGGACACCUGAAUUUUUAAUCAAUGUUUUCAUAACUUGGAGAAAAAUAUGCUCUGUGCUACACAGUGGAGUGUUUACAGAUAGAAAGACAAAGUCAGUGUAUUGUUCACUUAUUUGGAUCUUCUUUUAUCAUUACAUCGAACAUCAACAUGAGUUUGUUAACCAUCACCAAAAGUUUUCCCGAGAGUACAGUGCAGUCCUCAUCUCCUGAACUCUCAGAUGAGCUCACCGCUGCCCUCGCCGCAGGGCGAUGGUGGGCAAUAAUGGAGGUUUCUUCUCCUAUAUCUGAAGAGUCUGAGUAUGGGGACUUCACCUCAGUGCAGUGGUGGGGAACAAUGGAGGAAGGAGAAACUUCAUGCCCCAAGUCUCUGGUCUUCAGUGGUGAAUCUGAGAAGGCUGAGUCCCCGCACUCAGGCUUCCCAGCUGCAACACUGAAGACCAAGGAGCUGUGGAGGCAGAAGAAGACACAGGGUGCACCCGUGCCUCCCAGGUCCCAACAGGGAGCACCUGUGCAUGCAAAUACCAAGAAGAGGGACCACACCUCAUCCCUGGUCUUCAACUAUGCAUCUAAGAAGGCUGACUCUCCACACUCAGGCUUUACAGAUGCAACAAUGAAGACCACGGAGCAGCAGAGGAAGUGGAGGCAGAAGAAGCCUCAGGGAGCACCUGUGCUUGCUGAGUCUGAGAGGGCUGAGUGUGGGGACUCAGAAUUCUCUAAUGAAAUACUGAAGACCACUAAGCAGGGGAGGCAACAGCAAAGGAAGUGGACCGAGAAGAAACCUCAGGUAGCACCUGAGCCUGCUGGGUACCCGCAGGGACCAUCUGUGACCACUGGCUCUCAACGAAGAGGAAAGGUCAUGAUCCCCGAGCAUCUGAGGCAACAUCUGCUUAGGGCCGCUUCUGAACUGGAAGCACCUGUGCAAGCUAGGUCCCCACAGAGAGCACCAGUGCCCACAGCAUCUCCUCAACACACACCCAUGUGCACCAAGUCUCUACAGACAGAAGCUAUGCCUGCCCCAAAGGUGCCAAAACCAAAGAUCCCUGAGCAGCUGAGGCAAGAGCUGCUGCAGCAGAAGCCCAACGAGACCCAAGAGAGGCAAAGGCUCAAGAUACCUGAGCGACUGAGUCAGGAGUUGCUGCAGCUGUCGACUCGAGCCUCUUCUGUUCAAGGAGCACCUGCACCCAACAAGACCCCAGAGAGGCAAAGGCUCAAGAUACCUGAGCGACUGAGUCAGGAGCUGCUGCAGCUGUCGGCUCGAGCCUCUUCUGUUCAAGGAGCACCUGUGCCUCAAAAGACCCCAGAGAGGCAAAGACUAAAACUCCCUCAGCCGCUGAGGCAGGAACUCCUGCAGGUUUCGUCUUGUGCCUCUUCUGAGAAGGGAGCACCUGUGCCUCAAAAGACCCAAGAGAGGCAAAAGCUCAAGAUGCCUGAGCGACUGAGGAAGGAGUUGCUGCAGCAGAAGCAUCAAGCCUCUCCUGUACAGGGUGCUCCCAUGCCUUCCAAGUCCCCACAGGAAGCACCUUUACCUGACAGGAACCCUGUGCAUGCCGGGACCCCACAGGGAGCAGGAGUGUUUGCAGAGGCACUGUCCGCUGAGCCUCUGAAAGGAAUAACAGUUCCCUCCAGAACCAUGAAGACAAGAAAACGGAGGCUUGCUGAGCAUCAAAGCAUUCCUGUCUCUGCCACCCAGGCACUACCCAUGCCCUCCAGGACCUCAAGCGUGACGCCUGUGCAUUCUGGGACCCUACAGGGAGCACUUGUGACCAAAAGUUCCCCACAACAGGGAUCAAAUCCCAGAAUCACUGAGCAGCAGAGGCAGAAGCGGAGGGAGCAGUGGAGACAGCAGCAGAGACAGCGGAGGCAGCAGAAAGCAUCAGACAACGUCGAUGUGUGUGAGCCGCCUCCACAAAAAAAGCUGGGUGUGGAAAUCGAAAAGGUGCAGCUGAAGCUCAAACUGGGGAAGCAUCAAGCCCCAAAGCCCAGGACCCAGCUGACCCUGAAGAUGGAUCAUGCAGCUGUGGGUCAGCAGUCACCUCCAGAAAAAAAGCAGUGCAUGGCAAACAAAAUCAAAGCCCAGCAGUUGGGACCAAGCGGCUUAAAGCAUUUAUGUAGCAUAUUCAUAUGUUUAAUUGAAUAUUUGUAAAUAUUUAUUAUUAGUAUAUAUUGUGUUUGUACAUAUUUGAUAUGAUUGUAUGCAUAAUAAAAAAUAAAAUAUAAA
ensembl:lncRNA